rnacentral:misc_RNA from 1 species
GCAAAUUUUACUACCUGAAAAGCAUCUGGAAUGUCUUAAAAUACUAAAAAUGAUUGUAAACACGACCAUCUUUUGAUCCAUCGAGUGCUCAGAUCGGCUCGAAAACUCAGUCUCGAGUGCCAGUAAAUUAUCGCUAAUUCAAUCGCAUCUAAAUGAAGCUUAUAAAUUGUUAAUGAUUAUCAUAUAAUUACAUUUAAUUUAUGGGCAUCAAGAAAGAUAAAAAAUCUCACCAAGCAAUCUAGACCAUCAGAUGAUCACCUUUUCCAAAUGGUUUCUGAUCAAAACGGGGUUAGUCCCAUCUCAAAGGUUUCGUCGCUCUGAAUUCAAUGGUCAUUUCGGAUUGCUGAUCCAACUAUCGGAUUGUUGGAAAUCUCACCGAAAAUUCUUGGAUAGACCCAUUUUCUUUCUCCUCAGUUCUUUCUCCUUCGGCCACCAAAUCGAGCUCCGUUGGUCAGAAAUGAAAGCUAGUAGUUAGGGGAAGCUGGUGCCACCAGAAUCGCAUCGAUUCGACACCAAACGGGGCCAAAAUAAGCGCCUAAAGUUGGCUACAGUGCGCGCAUCCCUCUCUCUCUUUCUCUCCUCCAUUUUCUCGUCAUUGUUGCAUCAUUGGUCGCCAUUCAUGGCUGCUGAAAGGUCGCCAAUCACUGAUCAUCACAAAUCUAGUCUGGGUGGCUCGCUGGCAGUGAUGGUGGUUGACCAGAACAAAACAGGGAGGGAGGGAGAGUUA